GCUAUGCGCAUUCAAUAAUAUUAAGUAGUAAUAAUAAUUCAAUGUUCUUACCUCAGUUUCCUCUACAGGAAACGUGUCUGCCAGAAGUUGCAAACAUUCAUCAAAUGACAUGGUGUCAGCGUUCUCCUCUGGGAAGCUGACAUUCUGCAAGAAAGGAUGAGUGGUUACCUAGCUACGACAUCGCUGCAGCCUAUAAAAUGAGGUGGGAGUAGUCUACCUCUGACAUGAGUAAUGAUGGCCAUGGAAAUGUACCUGUGUAACCUCUAGAGGUGCGACAGCCGAAGGCAGUGGGGCGCUGGGUGGCGGGCGGGGUAUGUACUCUCCCGUUUCCUCGUCAAGCUGUAGCUGUGCCAGCAGGGCCUUCUCCUGCUCCAGGACCAGAUGCUGCUGCUUCUCUUCUUCCAGCUCCCGCUGCCUCCGCAGCUCAUGUUCUUUCUGACGAUGGUUGUAGUCAUAAACUUCACGCCUGGCGCCGAGAUCAAUGUCCUGCUUCCACAGUAUGUCAAUCAGCUCCAUGUCCUAGAAAGAAAACCACAGAUCAGUUUAGAGAGCUGUGAGCCAUGUUGUCUUGCCAUGUUGUCUUGCAGUGAGAAUGUGAGCAGCAUUGAAGCAAGGAAGAGCGCGCCGUGCUGUGAAGAGUGGCAGCGGCACCCGCCACACCCUGUCUCUCAGUAUCUGUUCACUAACAACAACACUGGCACUAAAGUCAAGGGGGAGAAGCCGCAUGAAUAAUCAAUGUACUUCUCUGUUUCCCGUGUUGCCACCACACGCCAGCACAAGACACGUAUCUUCACUUGAUACUCUUUCCAAGGGAAGUGUUCAUUACCCAUCUGAUUACACCGAGGUGUGAAUUCAUUUGUCUCAUUCAAACUCACAAAGGGCACACUCUAAAUCAAUUUUUGCACAAUUGACUCCAUGUUAGUUUCGGUCUCUAAAAGUACUAAAGUUAAAUCUUAAACAUUAUUUCAUAUUAAAAGCAUUUUUUUAAAACAGGAAGUUAAAAGGUAUGUGUAUAGUUGUUGUUUGGUACCACGAUGCUUGUACAAUAAAUACAAAUUAAAAUUCCUUAAAGGCUAUAUUUGGCUGUAGAUCUGUUGCUGGGUGGAAUUGCAGACCUUGUUUUAUUGUUUUCCUUCCUGUUAUGUCUUUAAGUAAAUAACUACAACUAUUAAUA